GAACACGUGAGAAACGUACCCCAGACUCUGGGAUAACAAUUGGAAACGAUUGCUAAUACCGGAUGACGUCGGAGAAUCGCAUGAUUCACUGACGAAAGAUAUUUCGGUUUGGGAGCGUCUCGCGGCCUAUCAGCUAGUUGGAGGGGUAACGGCCCACCAAGGCAACGACGGGUAGCUGGUCUGAGAGGAUGGUCAGCCACACUGGGACUGAGACACGGCCCAGACUCC
rnacentral:rRNA from 1 species